UACGUAGGUGGCGAGCGUUAUCCGGAAUUAUUGGGCGUAAAGAGCGCGCAGGUGGUUGAUUAAGUCUGAUGUGAAAGACCACGGCUUAACCGUGGAGGGUCAUUGGAAACUGGUCGACUUGAGUGCAGAAGAGGGAAGUGGAAUUCCAUGUGUAGCGGUGAAAUGCGUAGAGAUAUGGAGGAACACCAGUGGCGAAGGCGGCUUCCUGGUCUGUAACUGACACUGAGGCGCGAAAGCGUGGGGAGCAAACAGGAUUAGAUA
rnacentral:rRNA from 1 species